rnacentral:lncRNA from 1 species
UUCAAUAAUAGAUCCUUUUUCUUUUGCCUGCACAUCAUCUGUAUAUUGUGAGCUCAUCUGGUGCUGGAUGUACUUAAGUUCCUCCCUGCUAGAAUCUAUUUUCUGUGUGAUGUUCUUAAAUUCUUUAACAUUUAGAGAUUUUAGAACAGGUUUAAGAUCCUUAAGGUAGUUCCAUAUCAACUUAAGAGUGCCCUGCUCAGAACUCCUCCAAUGUACCUUCAUGAUGUUCUGGAAAUCCUUG